AAUCCAAGAUUACAGUACGGUAGUUUUGCGAGUUCACUACCCAACUCGUUGUUUUACACCGGGCUCACAACAAAUCCUAAAACCCCCAAUUUCUCUUAGGCUUGGGACGCCUUUCCCUUGUUCCAAGUCCCUUGACUGGAACAAGCACCACAAUAAAAGAGUUUACAAAAGAAAAUAAAAGCUCUAAGAAGCAAAUAUAACAAUUAUGAAUAAUGUAACCCGGAAGAAUCCUUUUGCCGUUGGAAGCGUGGGAAAUGUUGAUUCUUCCGAGGUGGAGCGCGUAGGGUUGAGUGUGAGCUUCGAAUCCCGAGCGCACAAGGGUGGUUGAGCUUGAAAUCGCUUGGGAGACUUGAGAAUACUUGAUUUCCUUCCUUGAAUGCACUCACUCCCUUGAGCUUUUCUUUCUAACUUCUCUCUUGAAUGAUCUAGCUUUUUGGUUGGU
rnacentral:lncRNA from 1 species